rnacentral:rRNA from 1 species
UACGUAGGGGGCAAGCGUUAUCCAGAUUUACUGGGCGUAAAGCGCGUGUAGGCGGCUGGUUAGGUGUGAUGUGAAAUCUUCGGGCUCAACCCGAAAACUGCAUUGCAAACCGGCCUGGCUAGAGUGCAGGAGAGGGAAGCGGAAUUCCAGGUGUAGCGGUGAAAUGCGUAGAUAUCUGGAGGAAUACCGGUGGCGAAGGCGGCAUCCUGGACCAUUACUGACGCUGAGGCGCGAAAGCUAGGGGAGCGAACGGG